rnacentral:rRNA from 1 species
GACGUAGGGAGCGAGCGUUGUCCGGAUUCAUUGGGCGUAAAGAGCUUGUAGGCGGUUUGUCGCGUCUGCUGUGAAAUUUCGGGGCUCAACCCCGAACUUGCAGUGGGUACGGGCAGGCUAGAGUGUGGUAGGGGAGACUGGAAUUCCUGGUGUAGCGGUGAAAUGCGCAGAUAUCAGGAGGAACACCGAUGGCGAAGGCAGGUCUCUGGGCCACUACUGACGCUGAGAAGCGAAAGCAUGGGGAGCGAACAGG